rnacentral:lncRNA from 1 species
GUGCCUAAUCCACCUCUACCUGGAGCUCCACCUUGCAUUGGGCUCCCCUUGGCUCCUGAAGUUCUACCUUGCAUUAGACUCUCUACUAGUCCUCUUGUCCUCUUCUCUCCCUCCAGAAUAAUCCUAUCGCUGCGUAUAACCUUCAAGAUUCUAUCACUAGCUACCCAUUUAUAGCUAUUUGAAUCCAGUCUGCUCAGUGAGAUAAGAUUCUAUCUGAAAUUGAGUAUGUAUCGGACCUCCCCC